CAUCCAAUGCCAUGUGUCACUUUGUUGUGGCUUGGGAGAUGCCUUAUCUUUUGAUAUUAAUAAAAGAAAAGAAAAAGGAAAUAAGAAUAUGGGACAAGCCCAACCGGUCUUCCCCUCUCUCUUUUCUUUCACUUUUCUUUCUUUCUCUCCCUCUCUCCUCAGCGCAGCACUCACUCUCCCUAUUCUUUUUCUUUCUUUCCUUUUCCUUGCUUUCUCCUCUUUGUCACUCACGCAUGCACAAAACGCACUUGCCCCUGUUUCUUCAUGUUAGCCGAAACCCACAGCCCUUCCACUUCCUCUUCUUUUCUUCGGGUCACACGCAGCUUCCAUCUCUUCUUCUCUUCUCCUUCCUCUCGUCUUUCUCUCGCACCCACAAACCCGCACGUCACUUCCCCUUCCACAUUUUCUCUCCGUCACACACGCCCAUCCCAUGAGUGAGGCCGUGAGGUGUGAUUUUUGGAGUGGGUUGUUGGUGGGUUGGAGCUAAUGACACCGGUGAGGCUAGAAGUGGUGAUUUUCAGUGAUUUUCGUGGGUUUUGACUGCUGGAAGGGAAAUCAGAAACUGGAUCGUGUUCAAAUUGGAGAUUUUAAUUGGUUCUCCAAUGUAGAGUCCAAGUGACUAGAGUCCAAGGGAGUGUUCGAGUUGGAGUCCAAUGCAGCCAAGACGAUGUUUCUUUGGCUGCAGGUACUUCGGUAUAGUCGAUGGGUCGGUAGCAGUGUGCUUGGGAUAUUAUGACUGAAGCUCGCCGCAACAGUUGUAAUUGUGACGUUUGUGUCACUUAUUCUUUGUUAAGCCAUUAUUGUUAUAGUGUUAAUAAGACUCAAACAGAUAGAUGUUAAAUGGCUCUUUGUUGUAAUUAAUUUGUAAUAGAUGUAUAAGUUGUAAUUUCCGCUAUUCAAAUUUACGUUAUCCGCUGCAUAGAUAGAUGUAUGUUAUACUCUGAUUAUCAGGUACAUGUUAUGGGGCAUGU